rnacentral:rRNA from 1 species
CACAUGCAGUCGAGCGGUAGAGAGAAGCUUGCUUCUCUUGAGAGCGGCGGACGGGUGAGUAAUGCCUAGGAAUCUGCCUGGUAGUGGGGGAUAACGUUCGGAAACGGACGCUAAUACCGCAUACGUCCUACGGGAGAAAGCAGGGGACCUUCGGGCCUUGCGCUAUCAGAUGAGCCUAGGUCGGAUUAGCUAGUUGGUGAGGUAAUGGCUCACCAAGGCGACGAUCCGUAACUGGUCUGAGAGGAUGAUCAGUCACACUGGAACUGAGACACGGUCCAGACUCCUACGGGAGGCAGCAGUGGGGAAUAUUGGACAAUGGGCGAAAGCCUGAUCCAGCCAUGCCGCGUGUGUGAAGAAGGUCUUCGGAUUGUAAAGCACUUUAAGUUGGGAGGAAGGGCAGUUACCUAAUACGUGAUUGUUUUGACGUUACCGACAGAAUAAGCACCGGCUAACUCUGUGCCAGCAGCCGCGGUAAUACAGAGGGUGCAAGCGUUAAUCGGAAUUACUGGGCGUAAAGCGCGCGUAGGUGGUUAGUUAAGUUGGAUGUGAAAUCCCCGGGCUCAACCUGGGAACUGCAUUCAAAACUGACU